GGUGUAGGCGGCUUGGCAAGUCGGAUGUGAAAUCCCAGGGCCCAACCCUGGAACUGCAUUCGAGACUGCCUCGCUAGAGUCCCGGAGAGGGUGGCGGAAUUCCCGGUGUAGGGGUGAAAUCCGUAGAUAUCGGGAGGAACACCAGUGGCGAAGGCGGCCACCUGGACGGUGACUGACGCUCAGACCCGAAAGCGUGGGGAGCAAACAGGAUUAGAUACCCUGGUAGUCC
rnacentral:rRNA from 1 species